CCAUUAUAAUUUCUUCCUGGAAUUGCUUUCUACUCUUUGAAAUCGCACUUAGUUCUUCCACAAAAGGAGGCUGAUAUGCACGUGUGAAUCCCUGAAUCACUGAUGCUUUGGGAGGAAGCAAAGGGAGGAAUGAGCAUGUACAAUCGAUGAGAAAGCAGUAUGCUGCUCAUCUUGUCUCUAUCGGGGCUUAAGACACCAUUAACUUGAUUAGUCAAAUGGGACAGAAACUACUUCUUACAAAAGACAAUGAUCAUGAUUCUUUUGAGUCCUAGGGAAAUCUGCCAACACUGAUAUUUAUUGUCAAGAGGAAACAAGAGAAUGAGGAAAUUCCCUGGUUGAAAAGGCAUACUAUAAAAUCAUGAAGAUCUGAGUUCCAAUCUCCAGAGCCCACAUGACAAGAUGGAUGUGGUCAUGUAUACCUGGAAGCACAGAGCUAUGAAGGCGGAGGAACAGAGACAGGAGGAUCAUCCCAGAGCCUUGGGGACUACCAGCCUAAUACAGUUUCAAUGACUGAUCCUAUCUGUAAGGAAUAAAGUUGAAAGCGAUAGGA